GACUCGUCACACUAUCAUUAACUGAAUCCAUAGGUUAAUGAGGCGAACCGGGGGAACUGAAACAUCUAAGUACCCCGAGGAAAAGAAAUCAACCGAGAUUCCCCCAGUAGCGGCGAGCGAACGGGGAGGAGCCCAGAGCCUGAAUCAGCAUGUGUGUUAGUGGAAGCGUCUGGAAAGGCGCGCGAUACAGGGUGACAGCCCCGUACACAAAAGCGCAUGUGCUGUGAGCUCGAUGA
rnacentral:rRNA from 1 species